CCGUGAAGUCGGAAUCGCUAGUAAUCGUGGAUCAGAAUGCCACGGUGAAUACGUUCCCGGGCCUUGUACACACCGCCCGUCACACCAUGGGAGUGGGUUGCAAAAGAAGUAGGUAGCUUAACCUCCGGGAGGGCGCUUACCACUUUGUGAUUCAUGACUGGGGUGAAGUCGUAACAAGGUAACCGUAGGGGAACCUGCGGUUGGAUCACCUCCUUACCUGAAGAUAC
rnacentral:rRNA from 1 species